rfam:Ixodes scapularis strain Wikel colony gcontig_1107729067646, whole genome shotgun sequence.
AGCUUUGCGCAGAGGCGGUGUCGUACCCAAUGAGGUUUUAACCGAGGGGCGACUAUUGCUAGUUGAAAACUUUUCCCAAUACCCCGCCGGGACGUCGUGAAAUACCGACGGCCAUGGCAAUUUUUCGCAAGCCCUACGGGGC